rnacentral:lncRNA from 1 species
UUUUAGAAUAAGAACAGCAGAUAUAUUUAUCAUUCCUCAUUUUGGCAAACUCAAAGCUUAGGAUUAGCUUGAGAUAAGCAUUUACUUAGAUAAGUAAAGGAUCAAGGUUUAAAUGGACAAAAUAUAGUUAUAAUUAGCAACUUAAAAGUUUUCCAGAACGGUAUUUGGGAUAGCUUUUUUUCCCUUUAGGUUUCAACCUAGGAACUAUGUACUUAGAUAUUUCUCUACUAGAUAAAAAUGUGUAACAUAUUUUUGAAAGAAAAAUAUUUGAAAAUCGCAAAAAUCCCCUUGAAUGAGAAAGAUCUCUGUUGUGGGCUGUGAAUAUUUUUUUAAAGGACCUCUUAAUUUCGUUUCAAUUUCUUAAGCCUUAAGAAUCAGUAUUCCUGCAAUACUUUAGAACUGUUUCACUGAAUUAGUCUAUUACUUGUCAGUAAAAAAAUUCUAAUGAUUUGGAACCUUUAGCUAUUAUUAUAAAAAUGAUUUGCCUUUCUUUUUUAAGCUAAAAUGCCCUCCAAGAGAUUAAAUAUUUUCUAAUGACAUAAUAUUAAGAUUUCUGAGGUUAAUAAAUUUCUUUUAAAAGGCAGAGAUGAGAUAUUUAUAGCUUUGAAAUAAUUUGCAAAUAAAAUUUACAACUGAUCUUAUGGCAGAUGUAAAUAAUGUUGGAUAGGUGUUACACGGGUCGGUACCAUGUUUUAUUUCUCUGUGUGCUACUGGAGCUAUAUCUCUUUCUAUUAACCCAGAAGAAACGAAUACUUGAAGUCUUUAUUAGAGCUAUGUCAUUACAUUUUUAGAGCAGUUGUUUCCUUAGUAAUUCAUUUAGUUUGGGUUGGACUUCUCAAGGGGGAGACAGAUAUCCCAGCAGCCUGGCAAAGUUAAGAACUUCCAGAUGCUUUACAGUAGUAAUGAGGCUGGGCACUUUAAAAAUGGCUUGGAAAAGAAAAUCAUUGUUUAUAGACACUAAUAAUUCUGUUACAUUGAAUUAUGUGAAUCAUUAAUGACCUUGAGCUAGGUUAGAAAACCAUUAAACUUUGUCUCACAAAGUUUACAGACACACACACACACACACACACACACACACACACGUGGGAAAAUACAUGGGUGCAAGUUAUACCAUUUAUUUAUUUAAUUUUUUGGGGGUCUUUUUUUAGCUAUUUCUUGGGCCGUUCCCGCGGCAUAUGGAGGUUCCCAGGCUAGGGGUCAAAUCGGAGCUGUAGCCACUGGCCUAGCCAGAGCCACAGCAACACGGGAUCCAAGCCGCGUCUGCAACCUACACCACAGCUCACGGCAACGCCAGAUCGUUAACCACUGAGCAAGGGCAGGGACCAAACCCGCAACCUCAUGGUUCCUAGUCGGAUUUGUUAACCACUGCGCCAUGACCGGAACUCCUCAUUUAUUUAUUUAUUACCAUUUAUUUAUUUAUCUAUUGUCUUUUUAGGGCCACACCCUCGGCAUGUGAAAGUUCUCAGGUGGAAUUGGAGCUAAAGCUGCCAGCCUGCACCACAGCCACAGCAACUCGAGAUCUGAGCCAAGUCUGCGACCUACACCACAGCUCAUGGCAACACCAGAUAUUUAACCCACUGAGCGAGGCCAGGAAUUUAACCUGUGUCCUCAUGUAGUUGGGUUUGUUACCACUUAGUCACAAUGGGAAUUUCUAUACCACUCACUUAAACACCUUUUUUCUUACCAAAAAGUAGUAACAAGUAGCAAAAAGAAGAAAAUAAACACCAGCCUUUCAGUGUUAAGCCAUACUUUACAUGUUUUUCUUCUACCUCUCAGGCUGCCACUUCUCUGUGAGCUUUUAAUAUGCUGCCUAACCUUUUAAAACUGGUGUUUAGUCCUUGGCUUUUGAAGUCUGAUUGGCUUAUUUGUCUGUAGUCAACAUCAAUCUCUCCCAAGACUUUGGUUUUUGUAGUUAUGCAAAUGGCUCCCAACUCUGUCUCCACCCCUGCUUUCACUGCUAAUGAAAUGGCUCUAUCUAGAUGUCUAAAGACUUCUCAAAUUAAACUGUCCAAAACAGAAUUUAAUCUUCCAGCUUCCUCUGUCUCCCCCACAAAAGACAAAACCUGAUUCUCUUUCUGGUGGGUUUAUCCUUGAUUCCUCCUCCUUUCACCCUCACAUUCAAUCAAUUUCACCUUAUAAAUAUCUCAUAACUAUGUCCCUCACCAUUCCCACUGUCAUUGUCACCUCUUGCCAGUCUUACUCUUCUUCAAUACAUUCUCCCCAGUGAGCCAAAGCGAUUCCUCUAGAAUCUAGAUUAUGUAAAUUGCCUAAUUGUCACCCACUGCUUAAACAUUUUUACUCUUUACCUGUAGUUAGCCAUACUGUGAGGUUAAAGGCACAGCCAAGUCUGCCUGAAGCAGGUGUUUGCAAGGAGUUAGGGUCCAACUACAAAGUUAGAGGGAGGAAUCCACAUGAGAUCACUCUCACUUUUUUUUCUCACAAUUAUUUAAAAAAAAUUAUUCUCAGAGCUGCACAAUCAUUACUACACUUUUUCUUUUUUUCCUUCCUUUUAUGGUUGCCUAGCCGCAUAUGGAGUUCCUGGGCCAGGGAUCAGAGCCGAACCACAGUUGUGACCUAAGCCACACCUGUGGCAUGCUGGAUUCUUUAACCCACUGUGCUGGGCCAGGGAUUGAACCUUCAUCUUGUUGCUGCAGAGACACCACCAGUCCCAUCAGGCCACAGCAGGAACUCCACAAUCCAUUUUAGAACAUUUUUUAUUUUCUUAAUAGAACACCCCAUGCUCAUUAGCAGUCACUUCCUAUUCUCCCCCAAAACCCCAGCCAUAGGCAACCAAUAAUCUUUGUGAUCCAGGUUUUUAAAGUUGUCGAGGAGUUCCCUUUGUGGCUCAGUGGUUGACGAACCUGACUGGGAACCAUGAGGACGCAGGUUCGAUCCCUGGCGUUGCUCAGUGGGUUAAGGAUCUGGCGUUGCUGUGAGCUGUGGUGUAGGUGGAAGACACGGCUCAGAUCUGGUGUUGCUGUGGCUCUGGUGUAGCUCCGAUUCAACGCUUAGCCUGGAAACUUCCGUAUGCCUCAGGUGCAGCCCUAAAAAAAAAAGCAUAAAGGUUGUUGAUUUGAAAUUCCUUGUUGUCUUCCAAGGAUAUUCUACCUCAAACCAUUUGAUUGAUUGUACAGGUUCAAUCAGAAAACUAUGACUGUUCUCUUUGUUUAUAAAAUCUUAUAAAUCAAAAAGAGUGACAUAUAACUGCAUUCUUAUGCAUAUCUCAUUAUAAAUAGCUUCUUAAACAUAAUUUUCAGGAGUUCCUGUUGUGACACCAUGGAAAUGAAUCCGACUAGUAUCCAUGAGGAUGCCAGUUCAAUUCCUGUCCUCGCUCAGUGGGUCUGGGAUCCGGCAUGAACAUGAGCUGUGGUAUAGGUCACAGGUGUGACUAGAAUCCGGUGUUGCCAUGGCUAUGGUGUAGACCCCAGCUGCAGCUCCUAGCCGGGGAAUUUCCACAUACCUCAGGUGUGGCUGUAAAAAGGAAAAAAAUUAGAUAUUGUUUUUAGUAUUUAAGUUACUAAAUUUUGGUCUUAUAUUUUAAAACUUUUUAUUAUAGAAAGUUUAUGAAGUAUGUAAAAAAUAGUGUACUCAUCACCUAACCUCAGCAGUGAUUAAUAUGUGGCCAAUCUUGAUUCAUUUAUAUCUUCACACAUCUCACCCCACUUCCCAUUAUUUAUAUUUUAUGUAAUUUUUAAAUGAAUACACAGUAAUUUAAUGACAAUUCUGUUGGACAAUUUAGGGUGUUACCAGUUUUUGGUUGCUCUAAGUAUACUGAUGGUCAUCCUUUGAGCAAACCUUUGGUUUUCUUAGAGUAUAUUUUUAUAUAGUGUUUAGUGUUUGGAUUAUAAUAAGGUAUUCACUCAUUUAAGGCUUUUGAUGCAUAGUUUUUAAAUGUCUUCUAACAAGAUUUUACUAGUUUAUUUCUAAACAGAUAUAGAUGGCAAAGAUUAUUAGUGUUAUGAAAUACUGUAAACACUUAGAAAAUAACAGUAUAAUAAAAAAAAUCCAUAUACCUACCAUCUAGUUUCCACAAAUUAUCAUAAUUAAGAUUGUCUUAAGGAAAUAAAAUAUUUCAUAUAUUUAAAAAAAAUUUCAGGAGUUCCCGCUAUGGCGAAAUGGGAUUAGCGCUGUCUCUGGGGUGCUGAGAUGCAGGUUUUUCUUUUCUUUUUUCCUUUUUAGUGCCACACCCGAGGCAUAUGGAAGUUCCCAUGCUAGGGGUCCAGUCGGAGCUGCAGCUGCCAGCAGAGUCACAGCAUGGCCAUAUCUGAGCCAUGUCUGCAACCUACACCAUAGUUCACAGCAAUGCCAGAUCCUUAACCCACUGAGAAAGGCCAGGCAUCAAACUCUCGUCCUCAUGGAUACUAGUCAGGUUCAUACUGCUGAGCCAUGAGGGGAAGUGCUAGGAUUCAGGAUUGAUCCCCAGCUAGGCAUAGCUGGUUAAGGAUCCUGGCAUUGCCCCAGCUGUGACAUAGGUUGUGACUGUGACUGGGAUCUGAUCCCUGGCCUAGGAACUGCAUAUGCCUCUGGGUGGCCAAAAAAGAAAAAAAAAA